rnacentral:rRNA from 1 species
GGGUCAGUAGGUUGGUCGUGCCACCGGUACGUACUGGUCUCACUGAUUCCUCCUUCCUGAAGAACCGUAAUGCCAUUAAUUUGGUGUUGCGGGGAAACAGGACUGUUACUUUGAAAAAAUUAGAGUGCUUAAGGCAAGCUAACGCUUGAAUACAUUAGCAUGGAAUAAUGAAAUAGGACGAUCGAUCCUAUUUUGUUGGUUUCUAGGAUUGACGUA